rnacentral:rRNA from 1 species
AGUGAACGCUGGCGGUAGGCCUAACACAUGCAAGUCGAACGGCAGCACAGUAAGAGCUUGCUCUUACGGGUGGCGAGUGGCGGACAGGUGAGGAAUACGUCGGAAUCUACUUUUUCGUGGGGGAUAACGUAGGGAAACUUACGCUAAUACCGCAUACGACCUACGGGUGAAAGCAGGGGAUCUUCGGACCUUGCGCGAUUGAAUGAGCCGAUGUCGGAUUAGCUAGUUGGCGGGGUAAAGGCCCACCAAGGCGACGAUCCGUAGCUGGUCUGAGAGGAUGAUCAGCCACACUGGAACUGAGACACGGUCCAGACUCCUACGGGAGGCAGCAGUGGGGAAUAUUGGACAAUGGGCGCAAGCCUGAUCCAGCCAUACCGCGUGGGUGAAGAAGGCCUUCGGGUUGUAAAGCCCUUUUGUUGGGAAAGAAAAGCAGCAGGUUAAUACCCCGCUGUUCUGACGGUACCCAAAGAAUAAGCACCGGCUAACUUCGUG